GAUGAACGCUGGCGGCGUGCCUAAUACAUGCAAGUCGAGCGAACGGACGAGAAGCUUGCUUCUCUGAUGUUAGCGGCGGACGGGUGAGUAACACGUGGAUAACCUACCUAUAAGACUGGGAUAACUUCGGGAAACCGGAGCUAAUACCGGAUAAUAUUUUGAACCGCAUGGUUCAAAAGUGAAAGACGGUCUUGCUGUCACUUAUAGAUGGAUCCGCGCUGCAUUAGCUAGUUGGUAAGGUAACGGCUUACCAAGGCAACGAUGCAUAGCCGACCUGAGAGGGUGAUCGGCCACACUGGAACUGAGACACGGUCCAGACUCCUACGGGAGGCAGCAGUAGGGAAUCUUCCGCAAUGGGCGAAAGCCUGACGGAGCAACGCCGCGUGAGUGAUGAAGGUCUUCGGAUCGUAAAACUCUGUUAUUAGGGAAGAACAUAUGUGUAAGUAACUGUGCACAUCUUGACGGUACCUAAUCAGAAAGCCACGGCUAACUACGUGCCAGCAGCCGCGGUAAUACGUAGGUGGCAAGCGUUAUCCGGAAUUAUUGGGCGUAAAGCGCGCGUAGGCGGUUUUUUAAGUCUGAUGUGAAAGCCCACGGCUCAACCGUGGAGGGUCAUUGGAAACUGGAAAACUUGAGUGCAGAAGAGGAAAGUGGAAUUCCAUGUGUAGCGGUGAAAUGCGCAGAGAUAUGGAGGAACACCAGUGGCGAAGGCGACUUUCUGGUCUGUAACUGACGCUGAUGUGCGAAAGCGUGGGGAUCAAACAGGAUUAGAUACCCUGGUAGUCCACGCCGUAAACGAUGAGUGCUAAGUGUUAGGGGGUUUCCGCCCCUUAGUGCUGCAGCUAACGCAUUAAGCACUCCGCCUGGGGAGUACGACCGCAAGGUUGAAACUCAAAGGAAUUGACGGGGACCCGCACAAGCGGUGGAGCGCGUGGUUUAAUUCGAAGCAACGCGAAGAACCUUACCAAAUCUUGACAUCCUUUGACAACUCUAGAGAUAGAGCUUUCCCCUUCGGGGGACAAAGUGACAGGUGGUGCAUGGUUGUCGUCAGCUCGUGUCGUGAGAUGUUGGGUUAAGUCCCGCAACGAGCGCAACCCAUAAGCUUAGUUGCCAUCAUUAAGUUGGGCACUCUAAGUUGACUGCCGGUGACAAACCGGAGGAAGGUGGGGAUGACGUCAAAUCAUCAUGCCCCUUAUGAUUUGGGCUACACACGUGCUACAAUGGACAAUACAAAGGGCAGCGAAACCGUGAGGUCAAGCAAAUCCCAUAAAGUUGUUCUCAGUUCGGAUUGUAGUCUGCAACUCGACUACAUGAAGCUGGAAUCGCUAGUAAUCGUAGAUCAGCAUGCUACGGUGAAUACGUUCCCGGGUCU
rnacentral:rRNA from 1 species